rnacentral:rRNA from 1 species
AUUGAACGCUGGCGGCAGGCCUAACACAUGCAAGUCGAGCGGAUGAAGGGAGCUUGCUCCUGGAUUCAGCGGCGGACGGGUGAGUAAUGCCUAGGAAUCUGCCUGGUAGUGGGGGAUAACGUCCGGAAACGGGCGCUAAUACCGCAUACGUCCUGAGGGAGAAAGUGGGGGAUCUUCGGACCUCACGCUAUCAGAUGAGCCUAGGUCGGAUUAGCUAGUUGGUGGGGUAAAGGCCUACCAAGGCGACGAUCCGUAACUGGUCUGAGAGGAUGAUCAGUCACACUGGAGCUGAGACACGGUCCAGACUCCUACGGGAGGCAGCAGUGGGGAAUAUUGGACAAUGGGCGAAAGCCUGAUCCAGCCAUGCCGCGUGUGUGAAGAAGGUCUUCGGAUUGUAAAGCACUUUAAGUUGGGAGGAAGGGCAGUAAGUUAAUACCCUGCUGUUUUGACGUUACCAACAGAAUAAGCACCGGCUAACUUCGUG